AGCCUUAAGGUGUGAUGUUAUUUUAUUUUGUUUCGUUGUAACUCCGCUAUAAUAAACUCGUAUGUACAAACAACAAAAAUAAUAAUAAAUACCUAAAAAGGAGUGAGAUUUUCCAUUAAUAAAUGAAAAGCUAAUUUGAUUUCCGGUUUAAUGGUGCCCAUAUAAUUCUUAAACAUACCAAGCCAAGCCAAUGCAUGCCAGCCGGCCGUCUUCGUCCGCCUCGUCAUUGAAUAAAGCCUACUCGAAAAAUUUCGUGUGCGCAAAAGGUUACCGAACUUUUCAUUACAUUUCAAUUGAAGAAAAAGAAAUCCACAAAAGUUGGUAAAUUUUAUUGGAUCCAAGUCGGAUCGAAGUUUGCAUAUAGUGCAGCUCGCUCAUAUAAGUACAUUAUUUUUAUAAAUUGGAAGUACCUAUAAAACGUAUCCCCUGGAGCCCAGACUCUACUUCUCCAGUCUCCAUGUCCAUUGAGAGAUAAAAUUCUACAUCUGUGCAUCUACUACAGUUAUAGAAGACUUGGACGUCCAUUACUCAUGUCCAGACGUCAUUUCUUUUUAUUGUUCCACCCCUUCCUGAGGCUCCACCGCCACCGGGCCAUACCAAAAGGCAUAUUUCGCAAAAGAAGCAGAAACUUGCUGUGAUGUGGACAAUGACCACCAUUAUUAUUAGCUAAAGGGCGCACAACAAAACAACCUAACCUAACUUCUAUACUACUCUUGGGGACUUUUAUUUUGUUUCUUUUUGUGGAAAUGUUUGCUUAUGGUUAUGGGAUUUUAGCCUUGCGGCAGAAUAGCGUAAUCUUGGCAAAGUGCCUGUGCCGGCUGUAGUAUUUUAUAUCUAUUACUAUUUUUUAUUAUUUUUUAAAAAAAUGUCUGGACGAGUUUAUUACAGACAUUGAUGGGGUGUGUAUAGUUUUUUGUGUAACUGGAAAUAGUUUUGAAUCAUGUUUUAUUUUUUAAACGAGUCCGUAAAUUUGCUGUAGAUAAAAUUAAAUUAACGGUCUUUAAGUCUUUAAAAAUAGUUUGAUGUGAUACUUAAGUGUCAAUUGAUUGCCCUUGGAAUAGGGGUUUUUCUGUGACAUUUUGAAUAAUCGAUGUAGUGACCCGCAGGUGACUAAUCUUCUGGAAAUUAAAAGAUAAUAUAAGUAGAAUUUUAAACACACAAGGUUAAGUUGCUAAUGGCAAAAAACAAUCCAAAAGCCAUCAAAUUUACUGCUGGACCACAAUGUAAGAAUCAGAGC